GCCUUCGUAGCUCAGUUGACAGAGCGCAACACUCGUAAUGUUGAGGUCGCGGGUUUGACUCCCGCCGGAGGCU
rnacentral:tRNA from 1 species